ACAGCAGUAGCCACGGUAAUACAGAGGGUGCAAGCGUUAAUCGGAAUUACUGGGCGUAAAGCGCGCGUAGGUGGUUUGUUAAGUUGGAUGUGAAAGCCCCGGGCUCAACCUGGGAACUGCAUCCAAAACUGGCAAGCUAGAGUACGGUAGAGGGUGGUGGAAUUUCCUGUGUAGCGGUGAAAUGCGUAGAUAUAGGAAGGAACACCAGUGGCGAAGGCGACCACCUGGACUGAUACUGACACUGAGGUGCGAAAGCGUGGGGAGCAAACAGGAUUAGAUACCCGUGUAGUCCCUGUCUCUUAUAC
rnacentral:rRNA from 1 species